CAGUCGAACGGUAGCACAGAGAGCUUGCUCUCGGGUGACGAGUGGCGGACGGGUGAGUAAUGUCUGGGAAACUGCCUGAUGGAGGGGGAUAACUACUGGAAACGGUAGCUAAUACCGCAUAACGUCGCAAGACCAAAGAGGGGGACCUUCGGGCCUCUUGCCAUCAGAUGUGCCCAGAUGGGAUUAGCUAGUAGGUGGGGUAACGGCUCACCUAGGCGACGAUCCCUAGCUGGUCUGAGAGGAUGACCAGCCACACUGGAACUGAGACACGGUCCAGACUCCUACGGGAGGCAGCAGUGGGGAAUAUUGCACAAUGGGCGCAAGCCUGAUGCAGCCAUGCCGCGUGUAUGAAGAAGGCCUUCGGGUUGUAAAGUACUUUCAGCGGGGAGGAAGGUGUUGUGGUUAAUAACCCCAGCAAUUGACGUUACCCGCAGAAGAAGCACCGGCUAACUCCGUGCCAGCAGCCGCGGUAAUACGGAGGGUGCAAGCGUUAAUCGGAAUUACUGGGCGUAAAGCGCACGCAGGCGGUCUGUCAAGUCGGAUGUGAAAUCCCCGGGCUCAACCUGGGAACUGCAUUCGAAACUGGCAGGCUGGAGUCUU
rnacentral:rRNA from 1 species